UAGACCUGAGGUCAGGCAAGACCACCCGCUG
rnacentral:rRNA from 1 species